rnacentral:rRNA from 1 species
UACGUAGGGUGCAAGCGUUGUUCGGAAUUAUUGGGCGUAAAGCGCACGUAGGCGGCUUAGUAAGUCGGAAGUGAAAUCCCACGGCUCAACCUUGGAAGUGCUUUCGAAACUGCUGAGCUUGAGUACGAAAGAGGAUCGCGGAAUUCCCGGUGUAGAGGUGAAAUUCGUAGAUAUCAGGAGGAACACCAGUGGCGAAGGCGGCGCUCUGGGUCGAUACUGACGCUGAGGUGCGAAAGCGUGGGGAGCAAACAGG